AAAAGGAUAAUUUAUUAACUCAAAAAGGCAAGGAACACGAGUGACGCGGGUAUCACAGGGAACACAGGUAACACACAGGACAGAACUCACCACAAACUAAAAUGAUCCGACAAGGAACAAAGGAAAGACAAGGGCUUAUGGUGCGUUCCAGAGCCCAUCCAAAGCAAUGGGAUGUGGGACUUAUCCUACCUGAACUGUACUAGCUCCUACUUGGUGAAGUGGGGGUAGGCCGAUCACCCCCCAGUUCGCUAGUAGGAGGUUCCACUUCGACGGUGGGAUGUUCCACUUCGACAGGCAUUCCAGUGCACUUUUUAGUUGGAGGUAGGAUAAGUCCCACGUCCCACUGGUUUGUAUGGGCUCUGGAAUGCACCAUUAAAUACCAAACACACACAGGGCACGCAACGAGCAACAGCUGAGACACAUUAGGGAGGGAGCAGUAAUCAAACAGGAGGGAAACCUGACAUGGGGAACAAGGCCGAUACCAAAGUAAAAACAGGUAACAAAACAAAUAGGGUGGGUGGAGGGGAGCCAGGAGGAGGGAACCAAAACUGGAACUGGAGUGGGGCAGGACGGAGGGAUGUCAGGUGGGCGGGCGGAAAAAUGCACCAGGGCAAAGCAGGGAGCUUCAGGCGGACGGCCUGGGGAGCAAGCAGAGGCCUGCAGCGGUGAAGACAAAGACGAGGUAGAUGGCGGAGACCUUCUGGAAGGUCUGCAAGGUUUGGAAGGCGGAACCCCUCUGGAAGGCAAGGUAGAGGGCGGGCCCCUUCUGGAAGGUCUGGAAGGUUUAGAAGGCAGGACCCCUCUGGAAGGCAAGGUAGAGGGCGGGCCCCUUCUGGAAGGUUUUGAAGGCGGCACCCCUCUGGAAGGCAAGGUAGAGGGCGGGCCCCUUCUGGAAGGUUUAGAAGGCGGCACCCCUCUGGAAGGCAAGGUAGAGGGCGGACCCCUUCUGGAAGGUUUAGAAGGCGGCACCCCUCUGGAAGUCAAGGUAGAGGGCGGACCCCUUCUGGAAGGUUUAGAAGGCGGCACCCCUCUGGAAGUCAAGGUAGAGGGCGGACCCCUUCUGGAAGGUCUGGAAGAUCUAGUUAUGUUCCCGCCCCGUUGGCCUGGCACAUCAACUGUAGCUCUGUAGCCGAUGAUACUCCGACCACGCUUUCUGUGUUUCGUUGGGUUGAAUCCAGUCAUACGUGCUUUACCUGUACAUACUGGUAGCGCAGCUCCUUCACUCUUUCACCAUUUCUUUCAAAUGGAACAUUGUACAGCUGCUUCAUAUUCAUUUGGUGCCUCUUCAGCACCCUGUCAAUGGUUGAGAUGCUGACUGUUGUUUUCAAAGAUGUUGUUGUCCUCUGUAAUGGCACUCUUUUAUCUCCCUUUGUCUCAUGGCAUUGUUUUCUACAACCAUGGUGCAAAUAGCCUGCUCCUGUUCAGGUGUGAAAAGGGUCCCUCUGCCACCCCUGUGAGGUUGUCUUGCAAUCCUAUGUGGAGAAAAAAUACAGUACAGUAAAAAUAUACUUACUGUAUAUUGUAAAAUGCAAGUGGAAUACUGUAAUAUUGUAUGAAGCAUUACAGAAAGUAUACAGUACAUUGCCUAUCGUUAGAUUACAUACCUGUUCUGUCGACGAAAGGUCUGACUGAUUGAGGACGCAGUUGUUCUCCCAAUAUUUGGCUGCACCCUUCGACCAGCCUCGGCCAUUGAAAGCCCAUGAUUGAGAACAAGUGUGGCUCUUAUCUCAUCAGGAACGUGCAUUCUGCCUUUUCCUCUGUUGUGGCUCCCAACUCCUCCGCCAUGCAGCUGAAGGGAAAAACGGUCUGUCUAGUUACUGGACCAGAUGAAAUGAGACGGAGAGGUAAUAAAGUCUGUCGGCACGAGGACCUUGGAUUUAUUAAGUAAAGUGGCAACGGUUAUACAGAGUCAUAAGCAUGAGAAAUCGAAUAUGUCUAAGUCCCUAAUCAGCGCUGAUGGUUCGUCCGAAGCUUCGCCUCCGUGGAAGGUCUGCUUCAGAAGAAGGUGAAGAGUCUCUGUGUGAUACAGUCUUAUACUGUAUCUUCCUCCUGAUGAGGUGUGUGCGUUUGAGGUGUGUGUGGUUCUGUGUGUUUUUGCUUGGCCUUGGCUCCCAGGCCCUGCUGUGUAUGCCUCCUAACGGGGGAGAGCUCCUCGUGUCUUGGGUGUGAUAAAUUAAACCGGGGAGUGCCCCCCCGAAAUGUGGCUUCUCAGGCCCUGGUGUGGGCAGGGGUAUCUCUUGGUUCCUCCUAACGGGGAAGAGCUCUCAAAAUGUCUCCUAUGUGAUAAAUUAAACCGGGGAGUG
ensembl:lncRNA